CGACCGUGCCGCGCCCGCUGCGGCUCCUCGGGCCCCGCCUCUGGGGCGUGCAGGGCCCCGAGGGGACGAGACACCGCCCGGCCUCCCGCUCGGCGACCAGGAGAGAGGGCAGCCGUGUCACCGUGUUUCCCAAGGAGCCAACAGUGGAGGCUGCCAGAGAGGAAAGUGGCUUUCCUGUGUUGACUACCAGUGGACAUCUGCUUUCUGCCUGGCACAUGAUUAUUGGAUGGAUGACCUCACUCAGAAAGUGAGGCAAGAGGGCAACCUGCCCACCUUGUUCACUAUGGUGGUCCAGCGCCUGGAAUGGCACCUGGAACAUCGCAGACCCUCAAAAGACACGUGCAGAAUAAACUGGAGGAAAGAAAGAGAGACAGACGUGCAGAUUGGAAAAAGGAAAAAGCUGCGCAGACUGGAAAGUGGUUCCAAAGGUCCGCCCCUGUGCCCCUCGGAGAAGG
rnacentral:lncRNA from 1 species